rnacentral:ncRNA from 2 species
UCGCCCUCUGACCGCAAGGGUGCCCGGAAUAGCCGGGAUAAUCGGGAAGUUGGUUGAAAUCCAACGCUGCCCCCGCAACGGUGAUGGACGCUGUAAACACAGUGCAUCCUAAGCCCGGAGACCGGCCCUGCUGACGCCCAUAGA